rnacentral:snRNA from 1 species
GUGCCGCACUUCAGCAGCACAUAUAGUAAAGCUGGAACAAUACAGAGAAGAUUAGCAUGGCCCCUGUGCAAAGAUGACAUGCAAAUUCGUACAAAAAAUAUAU